AUUGAACGCUGGCGGCAUGCUUUACACAUGCAAGUCGAACGGCAGCGCGGGCUUCGGCCUGGCGGCGAGUGGCGAACGGGUGAGUAAUGCAUCGGAACGUGCCCAGUAGUGGGGGAUAGCCCGGCGAAAGCCGGAUUAAUACCGCAUACGACCUGAGGGUGAACGCGGGGGACCGAAAGGCCUCGCGCUAUUGGAGCGGCCGAUGUCGGAUUAGCUAGUUGGUGGGGUAAAGGCUUACCAAGGCGACGAUCCGUAGCUGGUCUGAGAGGACGACCAGCCACACUGGGACUGAGACACGGCCCAGACUCCUACGGGAGGCAGCAGUGGGGAAUUUUGGACAAUGGGGGCAACCCUGAUCCAGCCAUGCCGCGUGCGGGAAGAAGGCCUUCGGGUUGUAAAACGCUUUUGUUCGGGAAGAAAUCCUCUGGGCUAAUACCCCGGGGGGAUGACGGUACCGGAAGAAUAAGCACCGGCUAACUACGUG
rnacentral:rRNA from 1 species